rnacentral:rRNA from 1 species
CGCAGCGAGAGGUGCUUGCACCUUUCAAGCGAGUGGCGAACGGGUGAGUAACACGUGGAUAACCUGCCUCAAGGCUGGGGAUAACAUUUGGAAACAGAUGCUAAUACCGAAUAAAACUUAGUAUCGCAUGAUAUCAAGUUAAAAGGCGCUACGGCGUCACCUAGAGAUGGAUCCGCGGUGCAUUAGUUAGUUGGUGGGGUAAAGGCUUACCAAGACGAUGAUGCAUAGCCGAGUUGAGAGACUGAUCGGCCACAUUGGGACUGAGACACGGCCCAAACUCCUACGGGAGGCUGCAGUAGGGAAUCUUCCACAAUGGGCGCAAGCCUGAUGGAGCAACGCCGCGUGUGUGAUGAAGGCUUUCGGGUCGUAAAGCACUGUUGUAUGGGAAGAAAUGCUAAAAUAGGGAAUGAUUUUAGUUUGACGGUACCAUACCAGAAAGGGACGGCUAAAUACGUGCCAGCAGCCGCGGUAAUACGUAUGUCCCGAGCGUUAUCCGGAUUUAUUGGGCGUAAAGCGAGCGCAGACGGUUGAUUAAGUCUGAUGUGAAAGCCCGGAGCUCAACUCCGGAAUGGCAUUGGAAACUGGUUAACUUGAGUGUUGUAGAGGUAAGUGGAACUCCAUGUGUAGCGGUGGAAUGCGUAGAUAUAUGGAAGAACACCAGUGGCGAAGGCGGCUUACUGGACAACAACUGACGUUGAGGCUCGAAAGUGUGGGUAGCAAACAGGAUUAGAUACCCUGGUAGUCCACACCGUAAACGAUGAAUACUAGGUGUUAGGAGGUUUCCGCCUCUUAGUGCCGAAGCUAACGCAUUAAGUAUUCCGCCUGGGGAGUACGACCGCAAGGUUGAAACUCAAAGGAAUUGACGGGGACCCGCACAAGCGGUGGAGCAUGUGGUUUAAUUCGAAGCAACGCGAAGAACCUUACCAGGUCUUGACAUCCUUUGAAGCUUUUAGAGAUAGAAGUGUUCUCUUCGGAGACAAAGUGACAGGUGGUGCAUGGUCGUCGUCAGCUCGUGUCGUGAGAUGUUGGGUUAAGUCCCGCAACGAGCGCAACCCUUAUUGUUAGUUGCCAGCAUUCAGUUGGGCACUCUAGCGAGACUGCCGGUGACAAACCGGAGGAAGGCGGGGACGACGUCAGAUCAUCAUGCCCCUUAUGACCUGGGCUACACACGUGCUACAAUGGCGUAUACAACGAGUUGCCAACCUGCGAAGGUGAGCUAAUCUCUUAAAGUACGUCUCAGUUCGGACUGCAGUCUGCAACUCGACUGCACGAAGUCGGAAUCGCUAGUAAUCGCGGAUCAGCACGCCGCGGUGAAUACGUUCCCGGGUCUUGUACACACCGCCCGUCACACCAUGGGAGUUUGUAAUGCCCAAAGCCGGUGGCCUAAC